rnacentral:rRNA from 1 species
CAGCCCAGAGUCUUAAUCAAUAGCAGCAUCAGGAGAACGGUCUGGAAAGUCCGGCAGUAAAGGGUGAUAGCCCCGUAUCCGAAGAUGCUGUUAUUGUGAACUCGACGAGUAGGGCGGGACACGUGUUAUCCUGUCUGAAUAUGGGGGGACCAUCCUCCAAGGCUAAAUACUCCUGAUUGACCGAUAGUGAACCAGUACCGUGAGGGAAAGGCGAAAAGAACCCCGGCGAGGGGAGUGAAAAAGAACCUGAAACCGUGUACGUACAAGCAGUAGGAGCCUCUUUAUGGGGUGACUGCGUACCUUUUGUAUAAUGGGUCAGCGACUUAUAUUCUGUAGCAAGGUUAACCGUAUAGGGGAGCCGUAGGGAAACCGAGUCUUAACUGGGCGAAUGAGUUGCAGGGUAUAGACCCGAAACCCGGUGAUCUAUCCAUGGGCAGGUUGAAGGUUGGGUAACACUAACUGGAGGACCGAACCGACUAAUGUUGAAAAAUUAGCGGAUGACUUGUGGAUGGGGGUGAAAGGCCAAUCAAACCGGGAGAUAGCUGGUUCUCCCCGAAAGCUAUUUAGGUAGCGCCUCGUGAACUCAUCUUCGGGGGUAGAGCACUGUUUCGACUAGGGGGUCAUCCCGACUUACCAACUCGAUGCAAACUGCGAAUACCGAAGAAUGUUAUCACGGGAGACACACGGCGGGUGCUAACGUCCGUCGUGAAGAGGGAAACAACCCAGACCGCCAGCUAAGGUCCCAAAGUCAUGGUUAAGUGGGAAACGAAGUGGGAAGGCUCAGACAGCCAGGAUGUUGGCUUAGAAGCAGCCAUCAUUUAAAGAAAGCGUAAUAGCUCACUGGUCGAGUCGGCCGCGCGGAAGAUGUAACGGGGCUAAACCAUGCACCGAAGCUGCGGCAGCGACACUAUGUGUUGUUGGGUAGGGGAGCGUUCUGUAAGCCUGCGAAGGUGUACUGUGAGGUAUGCUGGAGGUAUCAGAAGUGCGAAUGCUGACAUAAGUAACGAUAAUGCGGGUGAAAAACCCGCACGCCGGAAGACCAAGGGUUCCUGUCCAACGUUAAUCGGGGCAGGGUGAGUCGACCCCUAAGGCGAGGCUGAAAAGCGUAGUCGAUGGGAAACGGGUUAAUAUUCCCGUACUGGUGGUAACUGCGAUGGGGGAACGGAGAAGGCUAGGUUGUCCGGGCGACGGUCGUCCCGGUUCAAGCAUGUAGGCAGAGUGAUUAGGCAAAUCCGGUCACUUAAUGCUGAGGUGUGAUGACGAACCACUAAGGUGGUGAAGCAAUUGAUGCCCUGCUUCCAGGAAAAGCCUCUAAGCUUCAGGUUACCAACAAUCGUACCCCAAACCGACACAGGUGGUCAGGUAGAGAAUACUCAGGCGCUUGAGAGAACUCGGGUGAAGGAACUAGGCAAAAUGGUGCCGUAACUUCGGGAGAAGGCACGCUGGCGGUAAGUGAAAUCCCUUGCGGAUGGAGCCGAAGCCAGUCGAAGAUACCAGCUGGCUGCAACUGUUUAUUAAAAACACAGCACUGUGCAAACACGAAAGUGGACGUAUACGGUGUGACGCCUGCCCGGUGCUGGAAGGUUAAUUGAUGGGGUUAUCCUUAGGGAGAAGCUCUUGAUCGAAGCCCCAGUAAACGGCGGCCGUAACUAUAACGGUCCUAAGGUAGCGAAAUUCCUUGUCGGGUAAGUUCCGACCUGCACGAAUGGCGUAAUGAUGGCCAGGCUGUCUCCACCCGAGACUCAGUGAAAUUGAACUCGCUGUGAAGAUGCAGUGUACCCGCGGCAAGACGGAAAGACCCCGUGAACCUUUACUAUAGCUUGACACUGAACAUUGAGCCUUGAUGUGUAGGAUAGGUGGGAGACUAUGAAGUGUGGACGCCAGUCUGCAUGGAGUCAACCUUGAAAUACCACCCUUUAACGUUUGAUGUUCUAACCUAGGUCCAUAAUCUGGAUCGGGGACCGUGUCUGGUGGGUAGUUUGACUGGGGCGGUCUCCUCCUAAAGAGUAACGGAGGAGCACGAAGGUUGGCUAAGCAUGGUCGGACAUCAUGCGGUUAGUGCAAAGGCAUAAGCCAGCUUGACUGUGAGAGUGACGGCUCGAGCAGGUACGAAAGUAGGUCUUAGUGAUCCGGUGGUUCUGAAUGGAAGGGCCAUCGCUCAACGGAUAAAAGGUACUCCGGGGAUAACAGGCUGAUACCGCCCAAGAGUUCAUAUCGACGGCGGUGUUUGGCACCUCGAUGUCGGCUCAUCACAUCCUGGGGCUGAAGUAGGUCCCAAGGGUAUGGCUGUUCGCCAUUUAAAGUGGUACGCGAGCUGGGUUUAGAACGUCGUGAGACAGUUCGGUCCCUAUCUGCCGUGGGCGUUGGAAGAUUGAGAGGGGUUGCUCCUAGUACGAGAGGACCGGAGUGAACGCACCACUGGUGUUCGGGUUGUCAUGCCAAUGGCAUUGCCCGGUAGCUAAGUGCGGAAGAGAUAACCGCUGAAAGCAUCUAAGCGGGAAACUUGCCUCGAGAUGAGUCUUCCCUGUCACCUAGAGUGACCUAAAGGAACGUUUAAGACUAAGACGUUGAUAGGCUGGGUGUGUAAGCGUAGCGAUACGUUGAGCUAACCAGUACUAAUGAACCGUGAGGCUUAACCUGACAACACCGAAGGUGUUU